CGACCGAAGGAAAUCCCCCGCCAUCAAAGGAAGUCAACCCCACUCCCGAGUCCCGACCCCAUCUCUCGUUUCCCCUUCCCACUCUCCCGAUUCAGAUCCAGAUCCCUUCUCCUGCGUCAGCUCCCUCCUCUGUACCCAGCUGCUGCACCAAACCUUUCUCUCCCUUCCAUAUCGGGCGAGGAUCCCCUUGGACGCCCUCGUCUUUGUCCCUUCCCUUCAUCUCCCUCUACCGCCAACCAGCGCCACGAUCCUCUCCCUAUCACCAUCAGCAGGUGCCGAGCAGCUCGUCUUUGAUGGAUCUUGGCCGGGAAGUGGUGGAGCAUGACCCGACGAUGACGAGCACUGCGGCCUCAAGCUCAACUCCAGCCUGGGGACAACGGCGACGUGCUCACUGCCGGUGACAACAACUACGUGCUCAGCCCAACUGCCUCUACAUCAAGAAGAUCCGUCGCCGCGGGCUUCGCCCCCCUCUCCCUUCAACACCGCGAGUUGAGGAGGAGCACCAUCACCUCGGCUGUCUACUCGCAGAUGAAGUACGUAACGUGGCCAUGUGGCCAGCAUCGGUGGAUCGGAGGGCAAUGGUGAGGGUUGCGAUUCGUUCUUCGUUGGCUAGGACGAUAUUUGAAUCUUGGAACAGAGGAAGACACAAGUUGGUCUGUCCAACUACGGCCUGUGAAUUUUCUGUACAGACGAGGUAGAGAAGUGCGUUCAUCCUGGACUACUCAUGACCAAUUUGAUGGGGCGCUCCUUUGCUCUGAUGAGUUAGAUCUCCAGUUAAUUCUUUCUUCUGAAUGCAUUUUUUUAAUUUGCCUGAUACAGAGAUCAUGAUGUGUGUGGCUCCAUCGCCGACGGUGGUCCCGACACGCAGCCAUAGGAAUGGAUAAUAGACAAGCCAACAGGGAAAGCAGGUGUGGAGAACACACGAUCUUGCCGAUGUGAGUGCCCUUGUCUAAUAAAUUGCUUAAAUCAGAGGACAAUUGAUGGUACAUCACGGAGCACAAGGGUUAAGAAGUACAUGAGGCUACAAUGAUGAGAACUAUGACGAGGAGAUGAUAAGAAUUGUACAUUGAUUUUUUUUCUUAUCAAAGAAAUACAUAGUUGCUGUUGCAUUUGAAUAUCAUUUUUAUUAGUAGAACUAUUGAGCUUUACUAAGUGAUUUGCAUCUGACUGUUACAGGGGAGGCCACUAAUGAGAGAUAACCUGGCCAUUGAAUGGCAUGCGAUCAAGACAUACACAAGGGCUAUGUGGAGCAAACACAAGUCAUGUCCUGAAGGUGUUGUACUUCAUACAUGGGAAGUAAAUCCGUACAAAGCAUAUAAUGAAGAGAUCGACAAGGAAGAUUACAACAUAGGAACCGUUGGCAUAUAACCCCUCCUACAUGCACUUGAAUGUGCAUAAAGCUUGUUCGGCUUGGGUUUCUAGGCUGUCUACACCUUCUGCUAGGGCCUUCCUUAUGGAUGAUGGUGUAAACUUGUUUCGAGCAAAGAUACAAAAAGUGGGUCAAAAGAGUAUCAUAUUACAUGAGAUCACUUGCUAUGAAGCUAGGUGUUACAGUCAGACGUAAUGUCAACAACAUGAAUGCAUUCUUUGGAGGACCGAUGGUUGCUAUAGCGUCUGAUAUUGUGUGGGUUAUGAAUAUUGUUCCUGAUAAAAAAAAACUGUGGUCACUUGGAGUAAUAUAUGACAUGGGCCUGAUUGGAGUUUA